rnacentral:rRNA from 1 species
UGGCGGCGUGCUUAAUACAUGCAAGUAGAACGCUGAAGACUUUAGCUUGCUAAAGUUGGAAGAGUUGCGAACGGGUGAGUAACGCGUAGGUAACCUGCCUACUAGCGGGGGAUAACUAUUGGAAACGAUAGCUAAUACCGCAUAACAGCAUUUAACCCAUGUUAGAUGCUUGAAAGGAGCAAUUGCUUCACUAGUAGAUGGACCUGCGUUGUAUUAGCUAGUUGGUGAGGUAACGGCUCACCAAGGCGACGAUACAUAGCCGACCUGAGAGGGUGAUCGGCCACACUGGGACUGAGACACGGCCCAGA